GACUGAUUGUUCCGAGUGGUUAAGGAGGCAGACUUGAACGACAUGUUUCGCACGAGAUCUGUUGGCGAAAGCCGCGCAUGUUCGAUCCAUGCAUCAGUCG
rnacentral:tRNA from 1 species